rnacentral:rRNA from 2 species
CUCUAUGGCCAUACCACCCUGAACACACCUGACCUCAUCUGAUCUCAGAAGCUAAGCAGGGUCAGGCCUGGUUAGUACUUCGAUGGGAAAAAAUGUCAAUUUUGAUGGUAGAAA